UGGUAGUAGAUUUGCAAGGUUUUGAAAUAAGAGAAGAGAGGGAGGAAGGAAGUAAUUUAAGGACAUGAUUUCAUUUUUAUUUUUUUUGUCAGUUUGGCCCACAGUUUAACCUCUUUAAAGCCCACUUUGUUCAUCUAGAUUAAUGAAAUACCAUAGCACUCUUUCUUUUAUCCCCACUUCAAGGGUGAUAUGUAGAGUAGUAGUGGCCGCAGUGCUUGAGAACAUCUUAGAAAUGCAGAAACUCGGCCACACCUCAGACCAAGCAAAUCAGGAUCUGCUUUCCAGCAAAAUCUCCAACUAAAUCAAAAGCACUUUGAAAUUUAAAAAGCACUGGUUUAUAGAACUGGAUAAAUAAUGAUUAGGAUAAAGAAGCACAGGAAUCCCGUGACAGUUGUAGGUUUUUUAGCUCAAUCAGGGACUGAAAGUGUAAAGAGGUAGGGGGAAAGAGUUUGGUUUCAUUUUUUAUUUUUUUGGUGUUUUGUUUUUGUUUUUAAGCUAAAAGAGGCCAAAAGGCUAAGGAAGAAGAGAAAGCAUGCAGGAAUGAGACACUUUACUAAAGAAACCCAGUUCCUGAGUUUUUUUCCGAUUCAGAAAGGAAUGGGAUGGAAAGCAAAGGUGGAUGUAUCAUCAAUCUAAUUUUGCGGAAAGGAACUGACUUCUUCCAAGAGGGAGGAGGAGGGGCACAGAGCAAUGCAUUCUGGUGAGUAGUCGGGCAGGAAGCUGAAGAGGUGAGUGAGCAAACGGCAAGAUACCUGGUGAGAGAAAGGGGAGGAGUUUUCUCAGAGAAGGUGAUGGAAGUUUGGAGGAGUUGGUGUGGAGGACGGGAGGGAAAUGCAAUUGCAGAAAUACAGAUGGGCCAAAGAAGGUAGUGAGGGCUAGGACAUUUGCCACAGUGCUUCUCAGUCCCGUGGCAUGUGAGGCCUGAAAGAAUGAGUAGCCUUCACAUAAAAGGACAAUAAAAGAGAAGUGAUGUUGCUACUAUUAUGUAAGUUAAGGAAUGGAAACUGUGCAUGGUGGCUCGUGCCUGUAAUCCCAGCACUUGGGGAGGCCAAAGCAAGAGGAUCACUUGGGGCUAGGAGUACAAGACGAGCCUGGUCAACAAAGUGAGAUCUUUUCUCUAUGGAAAUAAAUAAAUAAAUGGGAAAUGUAAAAAGUAGGGCACUCUUUCUCUAGAAUUUUGAAGAUGCAGGGCAAUUGUAGAUGAUGGAAUGAGGUUUCCAAGGGUGCAGUGUAAUGGUUAGAAGGUGCGGCAGCCAGGGUGAGUGGGGUAGAGAUGGAGCCUGCUGAAAGGGAUUAUGCACAUGAGAAAAAGUAAACAACUAAAGGAGAGCAGAAAUAAUCAAAAGCAGAGUGUGUCAGGCUUAUGACUCAAAGCAGUAGCCAUGAAAGUUGUUCGGCUGAAUCCCCAGAUGCUGCGGAGAUUCUAAUUGUUAUCUGCAUUUGGUAUAAACUAAUUUUGAGACUAGGAAUUGGAGCAGAAUUCUGAAAAGAGAGGGAAAAGGUUUGCUUUCUGCAAUGAUACUUUUAAGUCUAAGGUCAGGAAAGUGCGUCCUAACAUGUUACACGAAGUUUUUUUUUGUUUUUUUG
rnacentral:lncRNA from 10 species